GGAAGGUGCACUUGGUUAAC
rnacentral:rRNA from 1 species